GUAAGUCGAGGGGAACGGCAUUGAGUGCUUGCACUGAAUGGACGUCGACCGGCGCACGGGUGAGUAACGCGUAUCCAACCUUCCCGUUACUGCGGGAUAACCUGCCGAAAGGCAGACUAAUACCGCAUGUUCUUCGAUGACGGCAUCAGAUUCGAAGCAAAGAUUUAUCGGUAACGGAGGGGGAUGCGUCUGAUUAGCUGGUUGGCGGGGCGACGGCCCACCAAGGCGACGAUCAGUAGGGGUUCUGAGAGGAAGGUCCCCCACAUUGGAACUGAGACACGGUCCAAACUCCUACGGGAGGCAGCAGUGAGGAAUAUUGGUCAAUGGGCGGAAGCCUGAACCAGCCAAGUAGCGUGCAGAUGACGGCCCUACGGGUUG
rnacentral:rRNA from 1 species